rnacentral:rRNA from 1 species
AUUGAACGCUGGCGGCAGGCCUAACACAUGCAAGUCGAACGAGUGGCGGACGGGUGAGUAAUGUCUGGGAAACUGCCUGGUGGAGGGGGAUAACUACUGGAAACGGUAGCUAAUACCGCAUACCAUCAGAUGUGCCCAGAUGGGAUUAGCUUGUUGGUGGGGUAACGCCGAACCAAGGCGACGAUCCCUAGCUGGUCUGAGAGGAUGACCGGCCACACGGGAACUGGGCCACGGUCCAGAGUCCAACGGGAGGCGACGGUGGGGAGAGUUGCACAGUGGGAGAAAGCCUAGUACGGCCAUGCGGGGGGUAUGAAAAGGGCUUUCGGGUUGUAAAGUACUUUCAGCGGGGGGGCGUUACCCGCAGAAGAAGCACCGGCUAACUCCGUGCCAGCAGCCGCGGUAUAC